rnacentral:rRNA from 1 species
CUCAUGGAGCUGAAGUCAGUCGAAGAUACCAGCUGGCUGCAACUGUUUAUUAAAAACACAGCACUGUGCAAACACGAAAGUGGACGUAUACGGUGUGACGCCUGCCCGGUGCCGGAAGGUUAAUUGAUGGGGUCAGCGCAAGCGAAGCUCCUGAUCGAAGCCCCGGUAAACGGCGGCCGUAACUAUAACGGUCCUAAGGUAGCGAAAUUCCUUGUCGGGUAAGUUCCGACCUGCACGAAUGGCGUAAUGAUGGCCAGGCUGUCUCCACCCGAGACUCAGUGAAAUUGAACUCGCUGUGAAGAUGCAGUGUACCCGCGGCAAGACGGAAAGACCCCGUGAACCUUUACUAUAGCUUGACACUGAACAUUGAGCCUUGAUGUGUAGGAUAGGUGGGAGGCUUUGAAGUGUGGACGCCAGUCUGCAUGGAGCCGACCUUGAAAUACCACCCUUUAAUGUUUGAUGUUCUAACGUGGACCCGUGAUCCGGGUUGCGGACAGUGUCUGGUGGGUAGUUUGACUGGGGCGGUCUCCUCCUAAAGAGUAACGGAGGAGCACGAAGGUUGGCUAAUCCUGGUCGGACAUCAGGAGGUUAGUGCAAUGGCAUAAGCCAGCUUGACUGCGAGCGUGACGGCGCGAGCAGGUGCGAAAGCAGGUCAUAGUGAUCCGGUGGUUCUGAAUGGAAGGGCCAUCGCUCAACGGAUAAAAGGUACUCCGGGGAUAACAGGCUGAUACCGCCCAAGAGUUCAUAUCGACGGCGGUGUUUGGCACCUCGAUGUCGGCUCAUCACAUCCUGGGGCUGAAGUAGGUCCCAAGGGUAUGGCUGUUCGCCAUUUAAAGUGGUACGCGAGCUGGGUUUAGAACGUCGUGAGACAGUUCGGUCCCUAUCUGCCGUGGGCGCUGGAGAACUGAGGGGGGCUGCUCCUAGUACGAGAGGACCGGAGUGGACGCAUCACUGGUGUUCGGGUUGUCAUGCCAAUGGCACUGCCCGGUAGCUAAAUGCGGAAGAGAUAAGUGCUGAAAGCAUCUAAGCACGAAACUUGCCCCGAGAUGAGUUCUCCCUGAGACUUUAGGUCUCCUGAAGGAACGUUGAAGACGACGACGUUGAUAGGCCGGGUGUGUAAGCGCAGCGAUGCGUUGAGCUAACCGGUACUAAUGAACCGUGAGGCUUAACCUU